rnacentral:rRNA from 1 species
UACGAAGGGGGCUAGCGUUGCUCGGAAUCACUGGGCGUAAAGGGUGCGUAGGCGGGUUUUUAAGGCAGGGGGGAAAUCCUGGAGCUCAACUCCAGAACUGCCUUUGAUACUGAAGAUCUUGAGUCCGGGAGAGGUGAGUGGAACUGCGAGUGUAGAGGUGAAAUUCGUAGAUAUUCGCAAGAACACCAGUGGCGAAGGCGGCUCACUGGCCCGGUACUGACGCUGAGGCACGAAAGCGUGGGGAGCAAACAGG